rnacentral:rRNA from 1 species
GACGAACGCUGGCGGCGUGCUUAACACAUGCAAGUCGAACGGUAAGGCUCCAGCUUGCUGGGGUACACGAGUGGCGAACGGGUGAGUAACACGUGGGUGACCUGCCCUGCACUUCGGGAUAAGCCUGGGAAACUGGGUCUAAUACCGGAUAGGACCAUGGUGUGGAUACUGUGGUGGAAAGUUUUUUCGGUGUGGGAUGGGCCCGCGGCCUAUCAGCUUGUUGGUGGGGUAAUGGCCUACCAAGGCGGCGACGGGUAGCCGGCCUGAGAGGGUGGACGGCCACAUUGGGACUGAGACACGGCCCAGACUCCUACGGGAGGCAGCAGUGGGGAAUAUUGCACAAUGGGCGGAAGCCUGAUGCAGCGACGCCGCGUGGGGGAUGACGGCCUUCGGGUUGUAAACUCCUUUCACCAUCGACGAAGGGUUUCCGACGGUAGAUGGAGAAGAAGCACCGGCUAACUACGUG